GUGGGUACAGCACAGUGAAACAUUUAAUCACGGAACAGAAAGCUUUCUGGAACAAAUAAGCCAAAUGAAUGCCUAGGAGUGGAAAUGUUAACUAGCGACGUAAGUUCAGAGUACAGCUGUGUCCAAAUGAGCCGGGCUUCUGGCCCAGCGAGCAAAGUCUGUGAAAGCUAGAAGAAUCAUACUGCUUUUCCUAAAUGCCAGCAAUGGAUUUUUGCCUUGUUAAUUCAGAUUUUCUGGGAGGAGAUAGGAGGAAUUAAGAAAGCAAACAGAAUGGUUUUAAAACAAAUAUUUCCCAGGUUAUUGUGCUGAGAUAGAGUUGUGGUUUUUAUUUUUUCUUUGGGCAGAGGAACAAGUAGCCAUCCUUCAGGAGAAAUGCCUCAGAUGUAUUUCAAUGACCUUACAGUCUGGGUAUGACGGCACUAAAACUACACCGAGUUUACUAGUUAAUAUCUAAUGAAUCACAUUUUAUUUGUGUGUUUUGGGACAAUUCAUAAGCUCUUGCAGUUCAUUUGGGCCCCAAGACAUCCCUGAACAGACCACAACUCCAGUGUCUGCAUCAGCCAUUCUGCAAUCAUUCUGGAGAAGACUUCCAAGAACCAUUGUCAGGCAUUACUUUUUGCCCAACUAUUCGUCACAAUUAUCCAGCAAUAGGAAACUUUUUGCCAAACUAAUUAUCACAAUUCUCCAGCAAGAUGAUAAAGACCUCAAAGUAUCCAUCAUUACUUACACAGACUUUGGGUAGAAGAUAAAUCAAUUUCAACAGGCUUUGAUUAAAACUGUUCCCAAUAAUAACCAUCACAUAUGAAGACAUUUGUCAAACACAAAAUGUUUCAAAUAUAUUUUUCUUCUACAUGCCAUAACAUAGGUACAGUUCUUUUCUCCACUUUAUAUUUGAGGUUUACACAGUUUGUAAAACUUGCUUAGAGUUAUUAUACACCUGGUAUGGCAGAACCAUGGCCUCCAGGAGAGACAUUGGAAUGCUUCUGCUGAAAACAUUAAGUUACAAUGAAGUAGCAUUCAGUUGAAUUGAGCAGGAAAAAAAUUUACCAAGUCAAAUAAUUAGCAAACAGUACUCACUAUAUAAAAUAAAAUGCCGAACAGUGAAAAAGAGAUCCUAAAAUCCUUUUGAGAGACAGCAAAAAAACAAGACCCAGACUGGACAACACAGGGAAGGCUUGCUGUAGAAGGUCCAAAGUGAGCUGGCCUUCGGAGUGGCUGGGGUGCUUCAGAGACAGGAGCAAAGGCGAGGCUAGCAGAAGGAAGGGAUUGCCCAAGUGGAUGAAGAGGCCAGCCUGAGCAGACAGUGCAGGAAGGAAAUCAUUGUCUACUUCUUGGUUUAUUCCCCCAACUUUCAAGCUGUCACCAAACUCAAGAAACAUGUAGAUCAAUCCGUGUAAUGCACAAGGGAAGACCUGAUAGGGAAUUGGGCCACAAUCUGCAUUACAACAUCUACAGCACUUCCCAUGAAUACUACGCAGAAUACCAUAAAUACCUGGGCUACUCAGUCCUCAAUACAACCUUCAUCUAGCACGGACAGACACAGCAUUAAAUAUCAGGAAGAUAAGGGUGAAUAAGCAGUCUGGUCCCCUGGGAGUUCACGUUAAAACCACAUGAGUGCACAACUAUUUGUGGAAUUUGGGGACCUGGAGGGGAAUAUGAUAAUAGACAAAGUAAGUGUUAAAGGGAUGAAGGAAGGAGUAUUCCAUCUCUCAAGGCAGAAAAAACUUCUGAACAGGAACAUUUGCUCUGGGUCUUGAAAGAGAAGUGAACAACAAUAGCCGGAGAAAGAGAGGAAGUUAGUUGUAGGCAGAAGAAACAGCAGGAGAAAACAUCUCUAAACAUGGAAGGAUGGUACCUAUGCCAGCAGAAGGAAGAAGAUAGCCCAAAAGAGCUUGAGCCAAGAAGAGUCAAGUUGUAAUCCUAUCCUCCCUGUUGAUGAAAAUGGAUGAUACACAUCUAAAUAUGAACAGCAGAAAAUUACAGGGCAACAGCAAAAGCAACCAGAAGAUCUAAGAAAUGGGAAGAACCGGUCUUCAUAAACAUAAUUAGAAAUAAAACUUCUACUUUGAGAUA